rnacentral:rRNA from 1 species
AAUGGUCGCAAGACUGAUCCAGCCAUGCCGCGUGCAGGAAGACGGCCCUAUGGGUUGUAAACUGCUUUUGUACCAGAGAAAACCUACUCACGUGUGAGUAGCUGAUAGUAUGGUAAGAAUAAGCAUCGGCUAACUUCGUGCCAGCAGCCGCGGUAAGACGAAGGAUGCAAGCGUUAUCCGGAUUCAUUGGGUUUAAAGGGUGCGUAGGCGGACUUGUAAGUCAGUGGUGAAAUCUCUUCGCUUAACGAAGAAACUGCCAUUGAUACUGCAGGUCUAGAGUACAGAUGAUGUGGGCGGAAUAUGACAUGUAGUGGUGAAAUACUUAGAUAUGUCAUAGAACACCGAUUGCGAAGGCAGCUCACAAAACUGUAACUGACGCUGAGGCACGAAAGUGCGGGGAUCAAA